AUUUUGAUAAGAUUCAAAUAAAAAGACGCUGGCUAUCGUAACAACGAUAUACAUUACGUUCGAAUAGUUAAACAUCACAGGGAAAACGAUUGAAGCUAGAACGUUAGCUUUCUUCAUAAUCGCAGAUUGCUUAUCGUUAGCUACCUUAAACUUGUGAAU
rnacentral:antisense_RNA from 1 species